CGAGAGAGGAACAGAUCGGGCUACGGGCGACGCGCCGUCUUCCCGUCUUCCACGAGGAGAUCCAGCACGAGGAAUCCAGCGGACGCACAGGAUGUGGGUGCCCGAUGCUCGCCCGGGAUGCUGCGUGGAGUCUCUCAAUGUCGUGCCGACACCACAUCAACAUGGUCGCGGAAUCUCCUCCCGGUGGACACAAGGGCUCUUCCUUCGGCGGGUAUGGCUGUGCCUGACUGAUAGGAUACAGAGUCAGGUUUACAUGAGGUGAAUGCAAGCUCUUCACCUUCCUUUAUCUCUGAUCCCCGAAGCCCUUUGUAAUUCGCCCUUUUCCGUUUAUCUUGUUGGGCGCGUGGUUACAAGGGUCAGGGCGAGGAUCCACGGAUGAAGAGGAGAUGGUGUGCCCCCUGCCGCUUCCUGAUAAUCCGACCACCCGUGGGCCUUCCACCUAGAAAACCCACUUGAGGAGAAAGCGACUGAUUUCUGCACCUACAAUUUUGAAACGGACUGAUGGCCGUCUCAAAUCAUCCACAUCGAGUGAUUUCUGUAACUUCUACAACGGCCGUGAUCAGGUGCAUGUUUCAUUGUUGUUCAAGCUCUGCUUAUUAAGGAAAUAAACACAAUUGACUUGUUUUUGCACCUAAUUGUCCUAUGCAUGGUGGUUUAAAUUGGGCUAAUAUUGGUUCAUCAAGAGUCACUAGGAGUAGGACACAGAGGAGGAGGACAGAACACCAC